rnacentral:lncRNA from 1 species
CUAAUUUUUUUGUAUUUUUAGUAGAGAUGGAGUUUCACCGUGUUAGCCAGGCUGGUCUCAAACUCCUGACCUUGUGAUCCACCCACCUCAGCCUCCCAAAGUGCUGAGAUUACAGGCAUGAGCCACUGCGACCGGCCUACAGUCUUUAAUUUCUUUUAAUUCCUGUUCUAAUCCUUGAGGGAACAUUUUUUUUUUUUUGAGACGGAGUCUAACUCUGUCGCCCAGGCUGGAGUGCAAUGGCUCGAUCUUGGCUCACUGAAACCUCCACUUCCCAGGAUCAAGCAAUUCUCCUACCUCAGCUUCCCGAGUAGCUGAGAGUAUAGCUGGGUGCCACCAUGCCCGGCUAAAUUUUGUAUUUUUAGUAGAGAUGGGGUAUCGCCAUGUUUGCCAGGAUGGCCUCAAACUCCUGACCUCAGGUGAUCCAUCCACCUUAGCCUCCCAAAGUGCUGGGAUUACAGACAUGAGCCACUGCACCUGGCUGGAAAAAUUUAUUAUUAUUAUUAUUUGAGAUAGGGGUCUCACUCUGUCACCCUGGCUGAAGUAUAGUGGCAUGAUCUCGGUUCACUGCAACCUCUGCCUCCCAGUCGCAAGCAAUCUUCCUACUUCAGCUCAUGAGUAGCUGGGACCACAGGUACAUGCCACCACUACCUGCUAAGUUUUUGUAUUUUUAGUAGAGAUGGGGUCUUGGUAUGUUGCCCAGGCUGGUCUCAAACUCCUGAGCUCAAGCCGCUUUGGCCUCCCAAAAGUGCUGGGAUUAAAGGUGAGCCACCAUGCCUGACCCCUGUGGGAAAAUUUUAAAAACAAGAAUAAAUGGCCGGGCAUGGUGGCUCAUGCCUGUAAUCCCAGCACUUUCGGAGGCCGAGGUGGGAAGAUCACCUGAGGUCAGGAGUUGAAGACCAGCCUGACCAACAUGGAGAAACCCUGUCUCUACUAAAAAUACAGAAUUAGCCAGGCAUAGUAGUGCAUGCCUGUAAUCCCAGCUACUCACUACUCAGGAGGCUGAGGCAGGAGAAUCACUUGACCCCUGGAGGCAGAGGUUGCAGUGAGCCAAGAUCAUGCCAUUGCACUCCAGCCUGGACAACAAAAGCAAAACUCCAUCUCAAACAAAACAAAACAAAACAAAACAAAACAAAACAAAACAAACAAACAAACAAAAAAAACGAGAAUAAAAACUGAGCAGACACAUUAGCAGCUGCACACUGUGGAAUGAUAGACUCUACAGUUUAACUCCAGACAAAUGACACACACACACACAUCAGCAUCACCAGCAUCACCACCAUUCAGAAAAAUACAAUAGAAUCCAGACUCUACGGUUUAACUCCAAAUUACACACACACACACACACACACACACACACACCCCAUCAGCAUCACCAGCAUCACCACCUUUCGGAAAAAUACAACAGAAUCCAGAGUUAUUACAGUCUAUUAUCUAAAAUGACCAGUUUUUUAGAGGAGGAAGAGGAUAAAAUGAUCAGUUUUCAAGAAAAAAAUUAUGACACAUGCGAAGAAACCUAAAAAACAGUAACUCAUAUCCUGAUUUUAAAAGUCAAUGAAAACUAGCCGGGUGCAGUGGCUCACGCCUGUAAUCCCAGCACUUUGAGAGGCCGAGGCGGGUGGAUCACCUGAGGUCAGGUGUUUGAGACCAGCCUGGCCAACAUGAUGAAACCCUGUCACUACUAAAAAUACAAAAAUUAGUCAGGCAUGGUGGUGGGCGCCUAUAAUCCUAGCUACUGGGGAGGCUGAGGCAGGAGAAUUGCUUGAACCUGGGAGGCGGAGGUUGCAGUGAGCUGAGAUCAUUCCACUGCACUCCAGCCUGGGUGACAGAGCAACACUCUGUCUCCAAAAAAAAAAACAAUAAAAAACAAAAUAAAAACUGAGUCCAGGCACAGUAGCUCACACCUGUAAUCCCAGCACUUUGGGAGGCCGAGGCUGGCAGAUCACGAGCUCAGGAGAUCAAGACCAUCCUGGCUAACAAAAAAAUUAGCCGGGCAUUGUGGCGGGCGCCUGUAGUCCCAGCUACUUGGGAGGCUGAGGCAGGAGAAUGGUGUGAACCUGGGAAGCGGGGCUUGCAGUGAGCCGAGAUGGCACCACUGCACUCCAGCCUGGGUGAUAGAGUGAGACUCUGUCUCAAAAAAAAAAAAAAUAAAUAAAAAUAAAAACUGACUCUGAGUAGGCCCAGAAGUUGAAUUUGGCAGACAAAGACUUUAAAGCACAUAUUAUAAAUAUGUUCAAGGAAUUAAAUAAAAAUGUUUAACAAUGACUCAAUAAAUAUGGAAUCUCAACAGAGAAAUAGAAGCUAUAAAAAAAGAAUCAAACAGAAAUUCUAGAAUUAUAAAGUAAAAUAACUGAAAUGAAAAUUUUACUAAAUGAACCCAAUAGCAGAUUUAAGAUAGCAGAGGAAAAAUUUAAUAAACUUGAAGAUAGAUCAAUAAUAAUAAUCUAGUCUGAAUGACAGAGACAAAAAUGAUUGCAGGAAAGUGAACAGCUGGGUACAGUGGCUCACACCUGUAAUCCCAGCACUUUGAGAGGCUGAGGCAGAUGGAUUGCUUGAGCCCAGGAGUUUAAGACCAGCCUGGGCAACAUGAUGAAACCCUAUCUCAACAAAACAUACAAAAGUAAGCUGGAUAUGGUGGUGUGCCCCUAUAGUCCCAACUACUUGGGAGGCUGAGGCAGAAGAAUCGCUUGAGCCUGGGUGGUCAAGGCUGCAGUGACCAUGUUCAUGUCACUGCACUCCAGCCUGGGUGACAAAGCAAGACUGUCUCAAAAAAAGAAACAAAAAAACCAAAAAACAAAAACAAAAAAACACCGAAAACAAAAAGACUCAGAGGCCAGUGGUACAUCAAGCAUGCCGAUAUACAUGUAAUACAUGUCCAAAGGAGAGGAGACAAAGGGUCAGAAAAAAGUAGUUGAAAAAAUAAUACAAAGGCCAGGUGUGUAGCUCACACCUGUAAUCCCAGUACUUUGGGAGGCCGAGGCGGGCAGAUCACAAGGUCAAGAGAUUGAGACCAUCCUGGCCAACAUGGUGAAACCCCAUCUCUACUAAAAAUGCAAAAAUUAGCCAGGUGUAGGGGUGUGUGCCUGUAGUCCCAGCUACUCAGGAGGCUGAGGCAGGAGAAUCACUUGAACCUGGGAGGCAGAGAUUGCAGUGAACCGAGAUCUUGCCACUGAACUCCAGCCUAGCGACAGAGUGAGACUCCAUCUCAAAAAACAACAAAUAAUAAUAAUAGCCAAAAACUUUUCAAAUUUGAUGAAAAACAUUACACAUCUGAGAAUCUCAAUAAACCUCAAAUACAUAGACACAUCACGGUCAACUUGUUUAAAGACAAUUGGCUACCACAUGUACAAAAAUUCGAACAAUUCAGAGAAGAUUAGCCAGUCUCCUGUACAAGAAUGGCAUGCAAAUUUGUGAAGCAUUCCAUAUUUUUACAUGUAAAUAAAAGAAAAAAUAAAAGCAAAUGUACUAUAUAUAGAGAGUAAUACUACUGUGUUAAAUACACAGAUGAAUACAAAAAAUCUGAGCAUGGAAGAAUGAAUUUAAAAAUAAGUGAUUACAAUAAAAAGACAAAAAAGAUCUUUCAGACAGCAAGAAAAAAAGACUCAUCAAAUAUGGGGGAAGAAGUACACAAUUAACGGCAGACUUCUCUUCAGAAACAAUGGAGACCAGGAGGCAAUGGAAUGAGAUAUUUUAAGAGCUGAAAGAAAAUUACGGCCAUGUGUGGUGGCUCAUGCCUGUAAUCUCGGCACUUUGGGAAGCCAAGGCAGGUGGACUACUUGAGCUCAGGAGUUUGAGACUAGCCUGAACAACAUGGCAAGGCACCAUCACUACAUAAAAAUUUUUAAAAAUUAACUAGUUCCAGCCUGGCCAACAUGGCAAAACCCUGACUGUAAUAAAAAUACAAAAAAAAAUUAGCUGGGCGUGGUGGCUAACACCAGUAAUCCCAGCACUUUGGGAGGCCGAGGCAAGUGGAUCACUUGAAGUCAGGAGUUUGAGACCAGCCUGGCCAACAUGGCAAAACCCCGUCUCUACUAAAACUACAAAAAAAUUAGCUGGGUGUGGUGGCGGGCACCUGUAAUGCCAGCUACUCGGGAGGCUGAGGCAGGAGAAUCACUUGAAGCUGGGAGGCGGAGGUUGCAGUGAGCCAAGAUCACACCACUGCACUCCAGCCUGGGCAACAGAGCAAGACUCCAUGUCAAAAUAAAUAACAAGGCUGGGCACGGUGGCUCACGCCUGUAAUCCCAGCACUUUGGGAGGCAGAGGCAGGCAGAUCAUGAGGUCAGGAGAUCGAGACCAUCCUGGCUAACAUGGUGAAAACCUGUCUCUACUAAAAAUACAAAAAAUUAGCCAGGUGUGGUGGCAGGCACCUGUAGUCCCAGCUACUUAGGAGGCUGAGGCAGGAGAAUGGCAUGAACCUGGGAGGCAGAGCUUGCAGUGAGCUGAGAUCUUGCCACUGCACUCCAGCCUGGGCAACAGAGCGAGACUCCGUCUCUAAAUAAAUAAAUAAAUAAAUAACAAAAUACAAAAAAUUAGCUGGGCAUGAUGGUGCAUACCUGUAGUCCCAGCUACUCGGGAGCCUGAGGUAUGAGAAUCACUUGAACCCGGGAGGCAGAGGUUGCAGUGAGCCAAAUUGGCACCACUGCACUCUAGCCUCCAGCCUGGGUGACAGACUGAGACUCUGUCUCAAAAAAAAAAAAAAAAAAAAAAAGAAAAGAAAGAUUUAAGGGAUAAAGCUAAAGCAAUGCUUAGAAGAAGAUUUGUAGCUUAAAUGCCUUUAGUAGAAAGAAAGAAAGGUCUACAAUCAAUAAUCUAGGCUGGGCAUGGUGGCUCACGCCUGUAAUCCCAGCAUUUUGGGAGGCCGAGGCAGGUGGAUCACCUGAGGUCAGGGGUUUGAGACCAGCCAGGCCAACAUGACGAAACCCGAAACCCCAUCUCUACUAAAAAUACAAAAACUAGCUGGGUGUGGUGGCACAUGCCUGUAAUCCCAGCUACUUGGGAGGCUGAGACAGAGAAUCGCUUGAACCUGGGAGGCAGAGGUUGUAGCUGGCCGACAUUGUACCACUGCACUCCAGCCUGAGUGACAGAGCAAGACUCUACCUCAAAAAAAUAAAAAACAAAAUAAAAUAAAAUCAAUAAUCCAAUCUUUCACUUCAAGAAGCUGGAAAAAUAAGAGUAAAUCAAACAUAAAGUAAAUAGAAGAAAGAACAUAAUAAACGCCAGACUGAAAAAUCAAUGAAAUAGAAAACAAAAACUUUAGAGGCAGGAGAAUCGCUUGAACCUGGGAGGCAGAGAUUGCAGUGAACUGAGAUCUUGUCACUGAACUCCAGCCUGGAGACAGAGUGAGACUCCAUCUCAAAAAACAAACAAAAAAAAUAAUAGCCAAAAACUUUUCAAAUUUGAUGAAAAACAUUACACAUCUAAGAAUCUCAAUAAACCUCAAAUACCUAGACACAUCACGGUCAACUUGUUUAAAGACAAUUGGCUACCACAUAUACUAAAAUUUGAACAAUUCAGAGAAGAUUAGCCAGUCUCCCGUAUAAGAAUGGCAUGCAAAUUUGUGAAGCACUCCAUAUUUUUACAUGUAAAUAAAAGAAAAAAUAAAAGCAAAUGUACUAUAUAUAUAGAGUAAUACUACUAGUUAUUUGGAAAGAUCAACAAAACAGACAUAUCUUUAGCUAGAUUGCCCAAGAAAAGAGGAAAGAACAUACACAUUACCAAAAUCAAGAAUGAAAGAAGGGACAUCUUGUCCAAGUGUGGUGGCUCAUGCCUGUAAUCCCAGCAGUUUGGGAGGCCGAGGCGGGCAGAUCAAAUGAGGUCAGGGGUUUGAGACCAGCCUGGUCAACAUAGUGAAACCCUGUCUGUAUUAAAAACACAAAAAAAUUAGCCAGACGUAGUGGCGAAUGCUUGUAGUCCCAGCUACUCAGUAGGCUGAGGCAGGAGAAUUGCCUGAAUCCAGGAGGUGGAGGCUGCAGUGAGCCAACAUCAUGCCACUGCACUCCAGCCUGGGCGGCAGAGUGAGACUCCGUCAAAAAAAAAAAAAAAAAAAAAGAAAGAAAGAAAGAAGGAAGGAAGGAAGGAAUUGUAGGGAAUUUAAAUGAUAUGGAGAAAACCCUAGAAAGAGACAAAUUAACAAAGCUAACUAAAGAAAGAAAAAAAGAAAAUCCAAAUAGACCUAUACCAAGGAAAAGGAAAAGAAUUUGGAUUUAAAAUCGUCCCACAAGAAAAUGCCCAGGUCCAGAUGCUUUAUUGCUAAAUCAUGUCAACACUUAAAGAACAGGCCAGGCACAGUGGCUCAAGCCUGUAAUCCCAGCACUUUGGGAGGUGGAGGCGGGUGGAUCACCUGAGGUCAGGUGUUCAAGACCAGCCUGGCCAACAUGGUGAAAGCCUGUCUCUACUAAAAAUACAAAAAUUAGCCAGGCAUGGUGGCGCACACUUGUAAUCCCAGCUACUUGGGAGCCUGGGGCAGGAGAAUCACUUGAACCCGGGAGGCAGAGGUUGCAGUGAGCCAAGAUCGCACCACUGCACUCCAGCCUGGGCAACAGAGCAAGACUCUGUCUCAAAACAAACAAACAAACAAACAAAAAGCAAAAUAAGAGGAUAAAGAGAGGCCAGGUGUGGUGGCUUACGCCUGUAAUCCCAGAACUUUGGGAGGCUGAGGUGGGCGGAUCACUUGAGCUCAGAAGUUCAAGACUAGCUUGGACAACAUAAGGAGACCCCCAUCUCCACAAAAAAAUUUUAAAAUUAGGGCCAGGCAAGGUGGCUCAUGCCUAUAAUCCCAGCACUUUGGGAGGCAGAAGCAAGCAGAUCACCUGAGGUCAGGAGUUCAAGACCAGGCUGGCCAACAUGGUGAAACGCUGUCUCUACUAAAAAUACAAAAAUUAGCCAGCCAUGGUGGCAGGCACCUGUAAUUCCAGCUACUCAGGAGGCUGAGGCAGGAUAAUCGCUUGAACCCGCGAGGCAGAGGUUGCAGUGAGCUGAGAUCGCACCACUGCACUCCAACCUGGGUGACAGAGUGAGACUCCAUCUCAAAAAAAAAAAGAAAAAAAAAAUCUGCUAAAAUUACUUUGUAUUUAUAUACAAAAAAGAGUCACAUUCUGAGAUCAUAUAAUUAUAAACAAGUUUUUCACCUAUAUGCACUAUGGUAGGACAUUCUAAAGUCAUGUAGGACAUACAUAGAACAAGUCUUUGUUGCGUGUCUUGCAGAAUGUUUAGAAUAUCUGGACUCUGACUACUAAAUGUAAGAAUUACUGCCCCUUUCCCACCCAUUGUGAAACAACAUUGACAAAAAUUCUGACUACAAUUUUUUUUUUUGAGACAGGGUCUCUGUUGCCCAGGCUGGAUUGUAGCAGCGUGAUCUCGGCUCACUGCAGCCUCAACCUUCUGGGUUCAAGCAAUUCUCCCAUCUCAGCCUUCUGAGUAGCUGGGACCACAGGCAUGCACCACCAUGCCUGGCUAAUUUUUGUAUUUUUUGUAGAAAAGGGCUUUUGCCAUGUUGCCCAGGCUGGUCUCAAACUCCUGGGCUCAAGCAAUUUGCCCACCUCAGCUUCCCAAAGUGCUGGAUUUACAGGCGUGUACUCACACACCUGGCCUUACAAAUUUUCAAAAUUCUCCCUAUGAGAUAGUAGUAUUCCUGGUUUUAAAAACUGGUCUAGGCCAGGCACAGUGGCUCAUGCCUGUAAUCUCAGCACUUUGGGAGGCCAAGGCGGGUGGAUCACCUGAGGUCAGGAGUUUGAGACCAGCCUGGCCAACAUGGUGAAACCCCAUCUCUACUAAAAAUACAAAAAAAAUUAGCUGGGAAUGGUGGUGGGUGCCUGUAAUCCCAGCUACUUGGGAGGCUGAGGCAGAAGAACUGCUUGAACCUGGGAAGCA